GUCAAUAGAGAAAUCCUCCUUACAUGGAGCAACUUCAUGAUGUGGCUCUUCUCUUUAACUUGUUUAUGUUUUUCCUCCUUGAAAAUGAGCUGAGAACCUUCUUUUUUUUUAAUUUUUUAUUGUCUAAUCCAAGGUCAAAGAUUUAUGCAUACAUUUUCUUCUUAGAAUUUUGAGAUUUUAGCUCUCACAUUUAUAUCUGACUCAUUUUGAGUUAAUUUUUGUAUAUGUUGUGAUAUAAAGGUCAAACUUCAAGAAUAUUCAGUUUCCCAGAACCAAUUAAUAAAAAGAUCAUUAUUUUCCUUUGUCAAAAAAUUAGUUGACUAGGACUGAGGUUGUGGCUCAGCGGCAGAGUGCUUGCCUAGCAUGAGGCAAGCCCAUGAGGCACUAAGACAAUAAGUUCAAUCCUAAGCACUACAUAAAAAUAAAAUAAAGAUAUUGUGUCGACCUAAAACUAAAAAACUAAUAAAAAAUAGUUGACCAUAAAUAUAUGGGUUUAUUUCUGGACUUACAAUUGGAUACCAUCUGACAAGAACAAUUUUAAAGGAGGAAACUUUAUUUGGGGCCUCAUGGUUUCAGAGGUCUCAGUCCAUAGACAGCUGGCUCCAAUCCUCAGGGCUCCAGGUAAGAUAGGACAACAUGGCAGAGAGUGUGAUGGAGGAAAGUGGCUCAAGACCUCACACCAGGAGACAGAGACAGAGACUCCAAUGGCCAGGGACAAAGUAUAUAUCCCAAAGGCACACUCCCAGUGCCCACCUCCUCUAGCCACACCCUACCUGCUUUCAGUUACCACUCAGUUAAUCCCUAUCAAGGGAUUAAUUCACCGAUUGGGUUAAGGCUGUCAUAACCCAAUAAUUUAACCUCUAAAUCUUGUUGCAUGGUCUCACACAUGAACUUCUGGGAGAUACUCCAUAUCUAAACUAUAACAGCUUGUGUUCAAUAAAUACAUUUCCCAUGACUGAUAGAUUCCAACUACUAAAUGACAAAUAUUUAAUCACUUCUACCUAACAGUCUAAAUUAAUGUUAUUAUAAAUUUAUACAAAUGGCAGAUUAAGUCAGUAAUUUUAUUGAAGGUCAUCAUUCCAUCUCUCCUUAUUAAUCAAUUCAUUAUAUUUUAUAUUAUAAUUCUCAUGGAUCUUCUGACAUUGUUGAAUCUGCUGAUCACCCACAUCUUACAAUUCCCUUGUCUUUUGUCAGAAUACCUUACUGAAAGGGAAUGCAGUCAUUGCUAUAUGUUUCAAUAACAUCUUAAAAGCUGGCAUGUCCUACACAGCAAUAACAAAAUAACAGCAAGAAAAAAAAUGGGACCAUGGAACUGAAUACUUGCUAUAAGUUGAUGCCACUUAAAGUAUUGAAACUAUUUUUUAAUGCACAGUAAGAGUUGUUUGCUUGUUUGCUAAAUACAACAAUCUACUCUCUGUCAAAAAAAUGUCAAAUUGUUUUCACUUUAAUGUUAUCAUUCCCUGUGAUUUGAAUCCUUUCAAAUUUCAUGUGUAUUCAUGUAUGUGCAUAUAUACAUGCAUGAUAUGCAUUCGAGACCACCGUCUACAUCAAAAUGAAGCUCUGAAUUGGGUUAGUGAAGCACAAUUUUACAUGAAGGAAGUAGACAACUUUAUGAGCUAUUAUGUUUUAUGUGAAAUUAAAAUUUGACAACCCUCUACAACCUGUAAAAUAUUAUCUUAUUAACCAAACAAUAAACUCAAGCAAGGUAGACACAGUUCU
rnacentral:lncRNA from 1 species